GACGAACGCUGGCGGCGUGCUUAACACAUGCAAGUCGAACGAAGAGCGACUGAAGCUUGCUUCUAUCAAUCUUAGUGGCGAACGGGUGAGUAACGCGUAAUCAACCUGCCCUUCAGAGGGGGACAACAGUUGGAAACGACUGCUAAUACCGCAUACGAUCUAACCUCGGCAUCGAGGAUAGAUGAAAGGUGGCCUCUACAUGUAAGCUAUCACUGAAGGAGGGGAUUGCGUCUGAUUAGCUAGUUGGAGGGGUAACGGCCCACCAAGGCGAUGAUCAGUAGCCGGUCUGAGAGGAUGAACGGCCACAUUGGGACUGAGACACGGCCCAGACUCCUACGGGAGGCAGCAGUGGGGAAUCUUCCGCAAUGGACGAAAGUCUGACGGAGCAACGCCGCGUGAGUGAUGACGGCAUUCGGGUUGUAAAGCUCUGUUAAUCGGGACGAAAGGCCUUCUUGCGAAUAGUGAGAAGGAUUGACGGUAACGGAAUAGAAAGCCACGGCUAACUACGUG
rnacentral:rRNA from 1 species